rnacentral:ncRNA from 2 species
GAGACAGGUUAGUUUUACCC